GACGAACGCUGGCGGCGUGCUUAAUACAUGCAAGUCGAACGCAGAAGGCCGGCGCUUGCUCUUUCCGGGAGUGUCGAGCACGGGAGAGUAACGCGUGGGUACCCUGCCUGAUAGUGGGGGAACACUAGGGGACACGAUAGCUAAUACGGCAUAACAGUAGAUUUCGCGUGAUAGCUACGAAAAAUUCGCCAUUGCGGGACUUCCGGAUGGAUGUGCGGUGUAUUAGCUAGUUGGUGAGGUAACGGCUCAUCAAGGCGUCGCUGGGCAGCCGGGCUGAGAGGGUGACAGGCCACAUUGGGAUUGAGGUGCGGGCAAGACUGCUACGGGGGGCAGCAGUGGGGAAUAUUGCACAAUGGGCGGAAGGAGGAUGCAGCAACGCCGGGUGGGGGAUCACGGCUGUAGGGUUGUAAAGAGCUUUAGCCUGUGACGAAGAGUGUGUGACGGUAAUGGGUAAAGAAGCACCGGCUAACUACGUG
rnacentral:rRNA from 1 species